rnacentral:lncRNA from 1 species
AUCUACAAGCUUGGUGGUAUUGACAAGCGUGUGAUUGAGAGGUUUGAGAAGGAGGCUGCUGAGAUGAACAAAAGGUCAUUUAAGUAUGCAUGGGUGCUUGACAAGCUUAAGGCCGAACGUGAACGUGGUAUUACCAUCGAUAUUGCCCUCUGGAAGUUUGAGACUACCAAAUACUACUGCACAGUCAUUGAUGCCCCUGGACACCGUGACUUCAUCAAGAACAUGAUUACUGGUACCUCACAGGCUGACUGUGCUGUUCUCAUUAUCGACUCGACCACUGGUGGUUUCGAAGCUGGUAUCUCAAAGGAUGGUCAGACACGUGAGCAUGCUUUGCUUGCGUUUACCCUUGGUGUCAAGCAGAUGAUUUGCUGCUGCAACAAGGUAAGGUUUAGAACGUGUUGGAGUUUAUUGUUAGAUUGUAUUGAUGUUCUUUUUAUUAAUAAUUGAAUUUCAAUUAUCAUCUUGUACAGAUGGAUGCAACAACUCCAAAAUACUCCAAGGCAAGGUAUGAUGAAAUUGUGAAGGAAGUCUCCUCAUAUCUUAAGAAAGUUGGUUACAACCCUGACAAGAUCCCAUUUGUCCCAAUCUCUGGAUUUGAGGGUGAUAACAUGAUUGAGAGGUCUACCAACCUUGACUGGUACAAGGGUCCCACUCUCCUUGAGGCUCUUGACCAGAUCAAUGAGCCCAAGAGGCCUUCAGACAAGCCACUUUGGCUCCCACUUCAGGAUGUCUACAAGAUUGGUGGCAUUGGAACUGUACCUGUUGGUCGUGUUGAGACUGGUGUCCUUAAGCCUGGUAUGGUUGUGACCUUUGGCCCCUCUGGUCUGACCACUGAAGUUAAGUCUGUUGAGAUGCACCAUGAAGCCCUCUCUGAGGCUCUCCCCGGUGACAAUGUUGGAUUCAACGUCAAGAACGUUGCUGUUAAGGAUCUCAAGCGUGGUUUCGUUGCUUCAAACUCUUAAGGAUGAUCCUGCAAAGGAGGCUGCCAGCUUCACCUCUCAGGUCAUCAUCAUGAACCACCCUGGGCAGAUUGGAAACGGAUAUGCCCCAGUCCUUGACUGCCAUACCUCCCACAUUGCUGUGAAAUUUUCUGAAUUGCUGACCAAGAUCGACAGGCGAUCUGGAAAGGAGCUUGAGAAGGAGCCCAAGUUCUUGAAGAAUGGUGAUGCAGGGAUGAUAAAGAUGGUUCCCACCAAGCCGAUGGUUGUGGAGACUUUCUCUGAGUACCCACCUCUUGGACGGUUUGCGGUCAGGGACAUGCGUCAGACUGUGGCUGUUGGUGUCAUCAAGAGCGUUGAGAAGAAGGAUCCAACCGGUGCUAAGGUCACCAAAUCUGCUGCCAAGAAGAAAUGAGAUUGCAUUUGAUAGUAUCAGAGCCUUUUGAUUUUGGUUUUCUAUGUAGUCUGGUACUUUACAGUUUUUUAGACCAAUUUUGAUAUGUGUUCAUUUGGUUGAGACUGGCAUCUGCCUACGGAUUGUGUGUUUGCUUUUUCCGUGUCAAUUGUAGUUGAAUUCCUUCAAAGAAUUCUAGUUUGAUAUUUCCUUGUUUUCUUAAUGUUAUGAUGGUCCUAAGCCUUCGAUUUUCAACUAAUUUCCUGGCCAAUUCAGGUUUUUAAUGAUAAAUUAGUGAAAUACUAUUUUGGUAAUUAUAAAAUCAUCUUUCAAUUUACGUAAAGAAAAGAAAUUUUUUAAUGAUGUGUGAUUUGUAUCAAGAAAUAUAUGGACGAAUAGCAUAUUAAAGUUCAUAAAUUAGAAUUUCUAAAUUCGUAAAAUACAAUAUUUUAACUGGAAGCCAAAAAUGGUCUUAAUUUAGAUCAUCGUUGGUUUGAAAAUUUUAAGAUUUGUUAUAUUUAAAUUGUAAGAUUUGUUAUAUUUGUUUUUCAAUAUCAUGCUUUCAUUAAAGAAAGAGAAAGGUACAUAGAAGGUCCACCAAUCCAAAAGCCCAAAAAUUUACAAAAGUCCGAAGCUCAAUUACCAAUCAAGAAAACCUAGUAACAAACAUCAAAGUCACUGUUGUUGGAGAAGAAUGCUUGGGAAGGUCGGAAGUCACCAGCAAAGACGGAUGUAUCUUUCAACGGCAUGUGACGCCUCCAGAGGAAGGUCAUCAAGGACUUUCAUCAAUGAAACUUUCCGUACCUUUUUUACUAUCUUAUAUUAUAGGGUAUUCUAGGGGACUUCAUCAAGGACUUCCACCUUUUAAAGUUUUCUUUAUAUUGAAGAGAAGUUUCUAAUAUAUGUAUAUAUGUGUGUGGGGAGGGGUCCAUUUAUACUAGUGUAAAACUUAAGUGAUUUUGCUUUUUUGUAACUUUUUACAUUAGUAAUAUUUUAACAAUUCAACCAUCAUAUUUCAUGAUCCAUUCAUAUAGAUAAUGCAUGUUAAGUUUGGUAUAAAUUAAAAAUGAGAUGAGAAAUUGCCCUUAUACUUUACCAAAUCUUCCAAUAUGGUACCUGCACUUUUAAUUUGUCCAAUUUGGUACAUGUACUUCAGUCUCCUUAAUCAUAGUGGUACUUGACCCUAACACUAUUAAAAAAUGAUGAAAUGAUAUCUUGACCAAUUAUGUGGUGCCACGUGGCUCAUGUUGAUUCAUUGACUAACAGUUCAAGGGCUUCUGUGCAAUAAAUCCUAAAAUUAUUCUCUUUCCCAAAUUACAUUUUCACAAUACUUUAUAUAUGUGUAUAUAUGUAUAUAUAUGUGUGAGGGGAGGGGUCCAUUUAUACUAGUGUAAAACUUAAGUGAUUUUGCUACCAGUCAAGAAAACCUAGCAACAAACGUCAAAGUCACUGUUGCUGGAGAAGAAUGCUUGGGAAGGUCAAAAGUCACCAGCAAAGACGGAUGUAUCUUUCAACGGCAUGUGACACAUCCAGAGGAAGGUCAUCAAGGACUUGCAUUGUAAUAUCCUGAAUUAGGGCUUAAUCGGAAUAGUAGUUUCGUGACCACAAAUUUGAGAUAGAAAUAAUAAUUUUAUAAUUAUUUUAAUGAUUAUGAUAUGAUUGCAUGAUUGUGUGAAAUUUUCGUGAUGAAAUUCUAUGCCUAAAGUGCUUAAAUUGAAAGUAGGGACUAAAUCGAAUAAGUUGCAAAACUUGCAUUCUAGAAGUUUGUAGUAUGAAAUUGUUUUGGAAUAUUAAUGAGGAGGUAUUAAAUAGCAAUUUGACCAAUUUUAAGUUCAUGGACAAAAUUAGGACAUGGAAGGAAUUUUUAGAAAGUUUAGUAGUAAGGGUAUUUUGGUCAUUUAGUUAUUAAAAUGAAUUAAAAACAAAAUUAAAAGCCAAUUUUUGUCCAUCUUCUUCAUUAGGCCGAAAUUUCAAGGGUUCUCCAUAGCUAGGGUUUGUUUCAAGCUUCCAAGCUCCAUAGUAAGUGAUUCCAAGCCCCGUUUUUAAUGUUCUUUACGUUUUUGGAAUCCCGGUAGCUCGAUUAAGCUUAUGUUAGCAAUAAUUCAACCUAGGGUUUAUAUUUGGAAAAAUACCCAUAGGUGAAAUUUUUGUAUUUUGAUGUUUUAUGAUAGAAUAUGGGGUUUUAAAUUAUGUUAGACAACUUGUACUACUCGAUUUUAAGCAAAAACGAGUAAAAGGGCUUAAUCGGUAAAAAUACCUAAUAGUCACAAGUACAUGUUAGAGUGAGAAUUUGAUGUUGCCAUAGAAGAGAAAAGUGAUCAGCAUGUUGUAAAACAUAAGAAUAAGGAAUAAAGUUUAAUCCCAAGCCUAGGGGCAAAAGUGUAAAUAUGCAAAAGUUUAGGGGCAAAAUUGUAAUUUUGCCAAAAUUUGAGUUAAGGAUUAAUUUGAUAAUGUGAGUAUUAAAUGAGCUAAAUGUGUUAUUUUAGAUCAAGAAAGACGUGGAAUCGACCUCAAUUGAGGAAAAGAAAAAAUUGUGGACUAAAUUGCAAAAUCUUUGUAUUUUGGUACCAAGGUAAGUUCAUGUGUAAAUAAUAGCAUAAUUGUUAUUUUUAAGUUAUUGAUAUUAAUUAUGUGUUAUGCUGAAUUUCAUUAUGAAAUGUAUGCUUUGUGGUUAAUUUCAAAUAAUAUGUAAAUUAUGUGAGCUACUUGUUAAAUAUAAUUGUUACCGAGUAUUGAUUUCGGCAUUCUACGGAAGACGGCAAGGAUAAGUGUUCAAGAAAAAUCCCGUUUGAACCUUAGGAAUAGAUUAGGAUACAAGUGACAUGUCACUAGGAUGGUUGAGCAUCCGAACUCGUUGAGUUGAGUCCGAGUUCACUUAUGGAUGCGAAUGUCCGAACUCGUUGAGUUGAGUCCGAGUUCGUGAGAUGUAACUAGGCAUCCGAACUCAUUGAGUUGAGUCCGAGUUCACUUAUGGAUGCGAACGCCCGAGCUCGUUGAGUUGAGUCCGAGUUCGCUUAUGGGCGGGUUACAUGAUUGCUUGAUUGAAUAUGUGGCACUUAUAUGCAAAUUAUCCAUGUAUCCGAAUUAUAUUCCGAUGUGUUCAACGGGUAACGUUUUACUCACAUGGAGGAAUACUCGAGAUGAAAAGAGACGUAUUGGUAAGUAAUGAGAAAUGGAUAUUUUGGACAGGUAUGUAUUUAACCCUCGGGUUGAGUGUUGAUUACAACCACGAUAAGGUAAUAAGAUGAUGAAAAAUGAUUAAAAAAAUGUGAUAAGUGUGUUGAUGAUAUAUGCUAAUGUUGAUUAGUUUGAUUGUUUGUUAUGUUAUUUAUUAUUUACAUAUGAACUUACUAAGCAAUUAUGCUUAUUCCCUCCUUCUUACUCAUUGUAGUUUUGGACAAGCCAGUUCAGGAGUCGGGAUAGGUCGAAGGCUCAGUCACACUAUCAGGAAGAUUUUUGGUAAAUGGCUUGUAAAUUUAAGUAUGGCAUGUAUAGCAAUAUACUUAUUUUGUGUAAAUGAUUUUAUGAUAUGGUGACAGAAUGGUUGAGAAUAUAUUUGAUAAUGAUAAAUUAUGAAAAUGGUAAGUUUAGAUUAUGUUUGAUGUUAAGGAAAAUUAUUAAGAUACUUAGUGCAUAAAAACUCAUAAGAGGGAUGAAAUUUGCCAUAAACAGAAUACUGCAGCAACACUGACGCGAGUUUGAAAAUUUACUAAAAAGCAUAGAAAUUGAAUUUGGUGAUGGACUACAUAUCAAAUUGAAGCUAUUAUGUCUAGUUUCACAUGAAAUAAAUGAAACAGGUAAAGGAAUUAUAUGUUAGAAGAUAUUUGAAUUUUAGUGAAACAGGGUCAUAGCAGUUUCUGAAUCCCCUGUUCCUACUUUAGAAAUUCACCAUAAAUUGUAAAGAUAUAAUUAGGUGGUGUAUUUUAUAUCCUCAGAAUCCUUAUUGAGUCUAGUUUUAGGAGAAACAAAUCUCAUAGUCAUAUGAAUUUUUUACAGAGAGAAAAGUGGUUCGUAGUAAACAGAGGUCAGACCAGUCAAGUCCUGAAACAGGGGUAACUUUAACUAAUAAACUGUACUAAUUGGCCCAACCAAAAAUUUUAUAAAAAAAUUAGUAGAUAGGUAUAUGAGUCUAGAUUCAGGGAAAAUUUACGGAUCUUGAUUUUGAGUUUCGUAACUCGAGAUAUGAUUUUUCUUGUGACUGUGACGCAAGUAGCUUAAAAGCUGUGAAUGUAGAAACAAAUAAUCCAAAGUUCUAAAAAUGUUAAAUUAAGCUUAGUAACACCUCAAACUCGACUCCGGCGACGGUCUCGGGCGUGGGGGCGUUACAUUUAGUGGUUUCAGAGCAGGUUUAGUCGAUUCUCGGACUACGUGUUGUAUGUACGGAUUUUGCUAUACAUGCCAUAUGUAUAAAUUUUGAUAGUGUGACGACUUCUGACCUUUUUAAAUGAUUUUUUUAUAGUAAAUGGAUCCCGAUCCAGCUGUGGCAGAUGAAGUAGAGAGUAAUGCGCCAGCUCUGGCUGAAGGGGCAGCGCCGACUGAAAACCCACCUCCUACUGUUGGUCAGGGAAGAGGAGAAAGGGAUCGGGAAGCCUUUCUCCAAAUGAUGAGUGCAUGGUACACUGAGUUCGUUCGAACGAACCCAAAUGUACGACCUCCCCCACCUCCCCCAAUUCCUCAACCUGUACCCCCGAUGCCUCAAGGUAUGGAUCUGAUGAAAUUUCACAGAACUCCAGUUGAUAGAAUUCGCAAGCAAGGGGCCGAAGAAUUUAAAGCAAAUAUUGAUGAUGAUGCCGAGAGAGCAGAGUUCUGGCUUGAAAAUUCAAUCCGGGUAUUUGACGAAUUAUCUUGUACACCUGAAGAAUGUUUGAAAUGUGCUACAUCUUUGUUAAGAGAUUCAGCCUAUAAUUGGUGGAAGACUUUGAUUUCGGUGGUACCGAACGAGAGGGUAACCUGGGAAUUCUUUCAAGAAGAGUUUCGGAAGAAAUAUAUUAGUGAAAGAUUUAUUGAUCAGAAAUGUAAAGAGUUUCUUGAGCUGAAGCAAGGUAAUAUGACAGUCUCAGAAUAUGAAAGAGAGUUUGUUCGAUUGGGUAAGUAUGCCAGGGAAUAUGUUCCUACAGAAGCCAAGAUGUGCCAACGAUUUGAAGACGGGCUCAACGAAGACAUUAAGGUAUUUGUUGGGAUCCUUGAACUGAAAGAAAUGGUAGUACUGGUUGAUCGAGCUUGUAAGGCUGAAGAACUACUGAAGGAAAAGAAAGAGGUAGAAUCUGAAACACGAAAUUGGAAGAAAAGACCAAUGAGUAAUGCACCUUCACAGCAACCCGGAAAGUCAAGAAAUAUGAAUCCUCAUUCCCAAGUUUCAGCUGGGCAAUCAUAUGGAAAUUUUAAGAAGCAGAAUGUGGGUCCUAAAUCUCAGACUACUUCUGCGGCUAGUGUGGGAAAUACGAGAUUUGUUAAACCCGAGUGCCAGCGGUGUGGUAGAAAUCAUUUUGGUCCAUGCAGAGCAAAUGAAUGUUUUCGAUGUGGUUCUCCGGAUCAUUUUAUUAGAGACUGCCCAGAGAGAGAGAUGAGAAAGAAAAAUUUUAGAAUGUAAAAUCUAGUGGUGCAGACUCGAGGGGAAGGUAUCCGAGAAAAGCUGAAAGUGAAACAAGCAGUAAGAAUGUAGCCAGAGAUACAACAGUUAGAUCUGAAGGAAGAGCUCCAGCUACAACUUAUGCUAUUAAAGCGCGUGAAGAUGCUUCCUCACCCGAUGUGAUUACCGGUACAUUUUCUCUUUAUGAUACUAAUGUUAUUGCUUUGAUUGAUCCCGGUUCUACUCAUUCAUAUGUAUGCAUAAAAUUGGUGUCUAGUAUGAAUAUACCUGUUGAGAACACAGAAUUUAUGAUUAGAGUGUCGAAUCCACUAGGCAAAUGCGUGAUAGCUGAUAAAGUAAGUAAGAAAUGCCCUUUAAUGAUUCGGGGUCAUUACUUUUCGGCCAACUUGAUGUUGUUGCCGUUUGAUGAAUUUGAUGUUAUUUUGGGUAUGGAUUGAUUGACAUUGCAUGAUGCUAUAAUAAAUUGCAAAGAAAAGGUUAUAGAAUUAAAGUGUGAAAGUGGUGAAAUUCUGCGGGUUGAGCCAGACAAAUCAGAGGCAUUAUCUAGUAUGAUUUCUUCGAUGUCGGCUCAGAGAUAUUUGAGAAAGGGUUAUGAAGCUUAUUUGGCGUAUGUAAUUAAUACAAAAGAAGUUGAAAAAAAAGUUGAAUCAGUGCCGGUUGUGUGUGAAUUUGCAGACGUAUUUCCAGAAGAAUUACCAGGUUUGCCUCCAGUCAGGGAAGUAGAAUUUGGUAUAGAUUUGAUACCGGGAACAGCUCCGAUCUCGAUUGCUCCAUAUAGAAUGGCACCAACAGAGUUGAAAGAAUUAAAGUCGCAGUUGCAAGAGUUGACUGAUAAAGGCUUUGUGAGAUCGAGUUUUUCACCUUGGGGUGCUCCCGUGUUAUUUGUGAAAAAGAAGGAUGGUUCUAUGAGAUUAUGUGUUGAUUAUCGGCAGUUAAACAAGGUGACAAUCAAAAACAAGUAUCCGUUGCCGAGAAUUGAUGAUUUGUUUGAUCAGCUAAAAGGAGCAACAUGGUUUUCAAAGAUUGACUUGAGAUCUGGGUAUUAUCAGCUGCGAGUAAAAGAGUCAGAUGUGCCUAAAACUGCUUUUAGAACAAGGUACGGUCAUUAUGAAUUUUUAGUUAUGCCGUUCGGGUUGACAAAUGCUCCUGCUGUGUUUAUGGACUUAAUGAAUCGCAUAUUUCGGCCAUACCUGGACAGAUUUGUUGUGGUGUUUAUAGAUGAUAUUUUAAUUUAUUCAAAAGAUGAGACAGAGCAUGCUGAGCAUUUGAGGAUAGUUUUGCAAACUUUGAGAGAUAAGCAGCUGUAUGCUAAGUUUAGUAAAAGUGAAUUUUGGCUCCGGAAAGUUGGAUUUUUGGGUCAUAUUGUUUCAGGUGAUGGUAUACGGGUUGAUCCUAGUAAAAUUUCAGCCAUUGUUGAUUGGAAACCACUGAAAAACGUAACUGAAGUUAGAAGUUUCUUGGGGCUAGCUGGGUAUUAUCGGCGGUUCGUAAAUGGAUUUUCUAUAAUUGCUGCUCCUAUGGCUAGACUACUCCGAAAGGAUGUUAAAUUUGAAUGGACGGAAGAAUGUCAACAGAGUUUCGAAGAAUUGAAAAAGUUAUUAACUGAAGCACCAGUGUUGAUACAACCCGACUCAGGUAAAGAAUUUGUGGAGUAUAGUGAUGCUUCUCUAAAUGGUUUGGGGUGUGUACUAAUGCAAGAAGGAAAAGUGGUGGCUUAUGCUUCGAGACAGUUAAAACCUCAUGAGAACAAUUAUCCUACUCACGAUUUGGAAUUGGCUACGGUGGUGUUUGCUUUGAAGAUUUGGCGACAUUAUUUGUAUGGUGAAAAGUGCCGAGUAUAUACCGAUCACAAAAGUCUUAAAUACUUGAUGUCACAAAAAGACUUGAAUUUGAGACAGCGAAGAUGGUUAGAGUUAUUGAAAGAUUACGAGCUUGUUAUUGAUUAUCAUCCGGGGAAAGCGAAUGUGGUUGCCGAUGCUUUAAGCAGAAAGUUGUUGUUUUCUUUGAGAGUUAUGAACACUCAGUUGAAAAUUUCAGAUGACGGUUCGAUUCUAGCAGAGUUAAGAGCAAGACCGAUGUUUUUACAAGAGAUUUUUGAAGCUCAUAAAAAUGAUCAAGAUUUGCUAGCCAAAAGAAAACAGUGUGAAGCUGAUACGGGAUCAGAUUUCAGAAUCGGUUCUGAUGGUUGUUUGAUGUUUAAAAAUCAGAUUUGUGUACCGAAAAAUGAUGAGUUGAUUCAAAAGAUUUUGCAUGAAGCACAUAAUAGUUGUUUAGCAGUUCAUCCGGGCAGUACGAAGAUGUAUAAUGACUCGAAGAAAAUGUACUGGUGGAGUGGAAUGAAAAGAGAUAUUUCCGAGUUUGUAUCAAAGUGCUUAGUUUGUCAACAAGUGAAAGCUGAACACCAGGUACCUUCGGGAUUACUUCAGCCUAUUAUGGUUCCUGAAUGGAAAUGGGAUUGGAUUACUAUGGAUUUUAUAUCAGGGUUGCCGUUAACUCUAGGGAAGAAAAAUGCCAUUGGGCAAUAGUUGACAGACUGACUAAAUCGGCUCAUUUUAUUCCGAUACGUACAAAUUAUUCUCUUAAUAAGUUAGCUGAAUUGUAUAUCCGAGAGAUUGUUAGACUUCAUGGGAUACCUCUGUCAAUCAUUUCGGAUAGAGAUCCGAGGUUUACCUCACGGUUUUGCAAAAAGUUGCAAGAAGCAUUAGGUACAAAGUUAAAUUUCAGCACUGCCUUUCAUCCACAAACUGAUGGACAAUCAGAGAGAGUAAUUCAGAUUCUUGAAGACAUGCUCAGAUGUUGCGUAUUGAAAUUUCAAGAUAGUUGGGAAAGGUACUUACCAUUGGUAGAAUUUGCUUAUAAUAAUAGUUAUCAGACAAGUUUGAAGAUGGCACCUUAUGAAGCAUUAUAUGGUCGUAAAUGUCGGACGCCAUUGUAUUGGACUGAACUCAAGGAAAGUCAGAUUUAUGGAGUUGAUUUAAUAAAAGAAACCGAAGAAAAGGUGAAAGUGAUUCGAUAUUGUUUGAAAGCUGCUUCAGAUAGACAGAAAUCUUAUGCGGAUUUGAAACGAAAAGAAAUGGAGUUUCAAGUUGGUGAUAAGGUAUUUUUGAAAGUGUCUCCAUGGAAGAAAGUCCUUAGAUUUGGACGAAAGGGCAAGUUAAGUCCGCGUUUUAUUGGACCGUAUGAAAUAAUUGAAAAAGUUGGACCGGUAGCAUAUCGGCUAGCGUUACCACCCGAAUUAGAGAAGAUUCAUGGUGUGUUUCACGUAUCUAUGUUACGCCGGUAUCGUUUGGAUCCUUCACAUAUAAUUUCACUGACAGAAGUUAAACUACGACCGGAUAUGACUUAUGAAGAAGAACCGAUUAAGAUUUUAGCUCUAGAAGUCAAACAACUAAGAAAUAAAAGUGUUGCACUUGUGAAAGUGUUGUGGCAAAAGCAUGGGGUAGAAGAGACUACAUGGGAACCUGAAGAAACUAUGAGAAACCAAUAUCCACACCUGUUUACCGGUAAGAUUUUCGAGGACGAAAAUCCUUAAAAGGGGGGGAGAGUUGUAAUAUCCUGAAUUAGGGCUUACUCGAAAUAGUGGUUUCGUGACCACAAAUCUGUGAUAAAAAUAAUAAUUUUAUAAUUAUUUUAAUGAUUAUGAUAUGAUUGCAUGAUUGUGUGAAAUUUUCGUGAUGAAAUUCUAUGCCAAAAGUGCUUAAAUUGAAAGUAGGGACUAAAUCGAAUAAGUUGCAAAACUUGCAUUCUAGAAGUUUGUAGUAUGAAAUUGUUUUGGAAUAUUAAUGAGGAGGUAUUAAAUAGCAAUUUGACCAAUUUUAAGUUCAUGGACAAAAUUAGGACAUGGAAGGAAUUUUUGGAAAGUUUAGUAGUAAGGGUAUUUUGGUCAUUUAGUUAUUAAAAUGAAUUAAAAACAAAAUUAAAAGCCAAUUUUUGUCCAUCUUCUUCAUUAGGCCGAAAUUUCAAGGGUUCUCCAUAGCUAGGGUUUGUUUCAAGCUUCCAAGCUCUAUAGUAAGUGAUUCCAAGCCCCGUUUUUAAUGUUCUUUACGUUUUUGGAAUCCCGGUAGCUCGAUUAAGCUUAUGUUAGCAAUAAUUCAACCUAGGGUUUAUAUUUGGAAAAAUACCCAUAGGUGAAAUUUUUGUAUUUUGAUGUUUUAUGAUAGAAUAUGGGGUUUUAAAUUAUGUUAGACAACUUGUACUACUCGAUUUUAAGCAAAAACGAGUAAAAGGGCUUAAUCGGUAAAAAUACCUAAUAGUCACAAGUACAUGUUAGAGUGAGAAUUUGAUGUUGCCAUAGAAGAGAAAAGUGAUCAGCAUGUUGUAAAACAUAAGAAUAAGGAAUAAAGUUUAAUCCCAAGCCUAGGGGCAAAAGUGUAAAUAUGCAAAAGUUUAGGGGCAAAAUUGUAAUUUUGCCAAAAUUUGAGUUAAGGAUUAAUUUGAUAAUGUGAGUAUUAAAUGAGCUAAAUUUGUUAUUUUAGAUCAAGAAAGACGUGGAAUCAACCUCAAUCGAGGAAAAGAAAAAAUUAUGGACUAAAUUGCAAAAUCUUUGUAUUUUGGUACCAAGGUAAGUUCAUGUGUAAAUAAUAGCAUAAUUGUUAUUUUUAAGUUAUUGAUAUUAAUUAUGUGUUAUGCUGAAUUUCAUUAUGAAAUGUAUGCUUUGUGGUUAAUUUCAAAUAAUAUGUAAAUUAUGUGAGCUACUUGUUAAAUAUAAUUGUUACCGAGUAUUGAUUUCGGCAUUCUACGGAAGACGGCAAGGAUAAGUGUUCGAGAAAAAUCCCGUUUGAACCUUAGGAAUAGAUUAGGAUACAAGUGACAUGUCACUAGGAUGGUUGAGCAUCCGAACUCGUUGAGUUGAGUCCGAGUUCACUUAUGGAUGCGAAUGUCCGAACUCGUUGAGUUGAGUCCGAGUUCGUGAGAUGUAACUAGGCAUCCGAACUCAUUGAGUUGAGUCCGAGUUCACUUAUGGAUGCGAACGCCCGAGCUCGUUGAGUUGAGUCCGAGUUCGCUUAUGGGCGGGUUACAUGAUUGCUUGAUUGAAUAUGUGGCACUUAUAUGCAAAUUAUCCAUGUAUCCGAAUUAUAUUCCGAUGUGUUCAACGGGUAAAGUUUUACUCACAUGGAGGAAUACUCGAGAUGAAAAGAGACGUAUUGGUAAGUGAUGAGAAAUGGAUAUUUUGGACAGGUAUGUAUUUAACCCUCGGGUUGAGUGUUGAUUACAACCACGAUAAGGUAAUAAGAUGAUGAAAAAUGAUUAAAAAAAUGUGAUAAGUGUGUUGAUGAUAUAUGCUAAUGUUGAUUAGUUUGAUUGUUUGUUAUGUUAUUUAUUAUUUACAUAUGAACUUACUAAGCAAUUAUGCUUAUUCCCUCCUUCUUACUCAUUGUAGUUUUGGACAAGCCAGUUCAGGAGUCGGGAUAGGUCGAAGGCUCAGUCACACUAUCAGGAAGAUUUUUGGUAAAUGGCUUGUAAAUUUAAGUAUGGCAUGUAUAGCAAUAUACUUAUUUUGUGUAAAUGAUUUUAUGAUAUGGUGACAGAAUGGUUGAGAAUAUAUUUGAUAAUGAUAAAUUAUGAAAAUGGUAAGUUUAGAUUAUGUUUGAUGUUAAGGAAAAUUAUUAAGAUACUUAGUGCAUAAAAACUCAUAAGAGGGAUGAAAUUUGCCAUAAACAGAAUACUGCAGCAACACUGACGCGAGUUUGAAAAUUUACUAAAAAGCAUAGAAAUUGAAUUUGGUGAUGGACUACAUAUCAAAUUGAAGCUAUUAUGUCUAGUUUCACAUGAAAUAAAUGAAACAGGUAAAGGAAUUAUAUGUUAGAAGAUAUUUGAAUUUUAGUGAAACAGGGUCAUAGCAGUUUCUGAAUCCCCUGUUCCUAAUUUAGAAAUUCACCAUAAAUUGUAAAGAUAUAAUUAGGUGGUGUAUUUUAUAUCCUCAGAAUCCUUAUUGAAUUUAGUUUUAGGAGAAACAAACCUCAUAGUCAUAUGAAUUUUUUACAGAGAGAAAAGUGGUUCGUAGUAAACAGAGGUCAGACCAGUCAAGUCCUGAAACAGAGGUAACUUUAACUAAUAAACUGUACUAAUUGGCCCAACCAAAAAUUUUACAAAAAAAUUAGUAGAUAGGUAUAUGAGUCUAGAUUCAGGGAAAAUUUACGGAUCUUGAUUUUGAGUUUCGUAACUCGAGAUAUGAUUUUUCUUGUGACUGUGACGCAAGUAGCUUAAAAGCUGUGAAUGUAGAAACAAAUAAUCCAAAGUUCUAAAAAUGUUAAAUUAAGCUUAGUAACACCUCAUACGCGACUCCGGUGACGGUCUCGGGCGUGGGGGCGUUACAUGCAUAAAUGAAACUUUUCUUACCUUUUUUACUAUAUUAUAUAAUAGGGUAUUCUAGGGGACUUCGUCAAGGACUUCCAACUUUUAAAGCUUUCUUUAUAUUGAAGAGAAGUUUCCAAUAUAUGUAUAUAUGAGUGUGGGGAGGGAUCCAUUUAUACUAGUGUAAAACUUAAGUGAUUUUACUUUUUUGUAACUUUUUACAUUAGUAAUAUUUUAACAAUUCAACCAUCAUAUUUCAUGAUCCAUUCAUAUAGAUAAUGCAUGUUAAGUUUGGCAUAAAUUAAAAAUGAGAUGAGAAAUUACCCUAUACUUUACCAAAUCUUCCAAUAUGGUACCUACACUUUUAAUUUGUCCAAUCUGGUACAUGUACUUCAAUCUCCUUAAUCAUAGUGGUACUUGACCCUAACGCCAUUAAAAAAAUGAUGAAAUGAUAUGUUGACCAAUUAUGUGGUGCCACGUGGCUCAUGUUGGCUCAUUGACUAAUAGUUCAAGGGCUUCUUUGCAAUAAAUCCUAAAAUUAUUCUCUUUCCCAAAUUACAUUUUUCACAAUACUUUAUUUUUCACGUUUUUACUUGAAAACUUAUUGUUUUCUUUUUUUUAUUUCUUUUGUUCCUUUCUUCUUCAACCCUAGUUGCUACCACAGCUGCCCUCGGCCUCCUUCCAACUCAAAAUGGCACAGAGUGUUGCUCUUCGUUCUCUCUUUCGUUUCCCAAUUUGAAAAAAUUUCUAAAAGCUAUGAAAUGCCUUUAAAUUUUUGGAAUUUUCUAAUCUCAAUCUAAAGAUCCAACCGUUGGACAACCGUGUAACUUUGACGACGUUCUUUUCUUAGCAUGAUGAACCUUUUCAUCACUCAGAUCCUUCAAACGAUCCCCUAAAACCCAAGUUUGAAAGGGGGGGUUACUUAAGCCCUCCUCUCUUUCUAGUUCCAUCAUAUUGAAAUUAUAUGUUUAAGUUUCUUCAUUGAAUCUUCCAAACAAUUUUUGUAUCUUCAAUGAAUUAGGUUCUUCAUUUUGGUCAUUUCUUUUUAUUUUUAUUUACCUAAAAUUACAUCUACAGAAACAAAAAGAAAAAGAUAAACUUUUAUAUUUUUCAAUUUUCCUUUGAUUUUUUUGUUGUUGUUUAUGUUCUAUUCUAAAUGAGGAUUAUGUUAUAUCUCAAAUUUUUAGAUAUUUGGGUGAGAUUUAUUUUAGUAAGAAUGAUUUAGAAAUAUCUAUCAUUAGUUUUUAAUUAUUCCUUUGUAGUAUCUUGUUUGAUUCUUGAGAAAAAUAUGGAAGUGAAAAAAUUUUAGUAGAUUAGAAGAAAAAUUGAAAAACAAAACAAAGUAACAUUUCAAAAAAAGCGUGAAAGUAAUUUUUAAAAGUAAAAUAUAUUAAAACAUUUUAUAUAAUUUUUGAUUUUGAAGAAAAAUAUACUUUUUAAUAUAAAUAUCUAAUUUUGAUAAAAAAAAUAUUUCUUUCAACAAUAAAAAAAAUGGAAAAAUUGCCCACAAGGGUCUGAGCUAGAAGUCAAAGGUCAAUAAACAUAUAUUCGGUGCCCAUUGAUUGGUUAAUGUAUCACGUCAUCUAUUUUUUAAAACGGUGUUAGGGUCAAGUAUAGAACAUCUAGGUCCACAAAAUCACUAAACUAAAAUUUAGUUACACCUUCUAACACUCCAAAAUAUGAAAAUAAAGGAGGAAUUUAAAAAACCAAAUAGAAGAUUGAAUAUUUGGUUUGAUGCAAUUAAUACUUAUAACAUAGGUGGUAAUUCUUAGUGAAGAUGAGACUGGAAGGGUAUUUUUAGCUAAGGGUGAUAAAUAACUCAAUCAAGGAUAAAUAAUUAUUUAAUUAGAUAGUUAGGGAUUUAAUCAAUCAUAAGUUAGAGGCUCGCAUUGUCAACACUAGGAAUAAGAAAUUCCAUUAGGUAAAUUUAGGUUUAUUUAAUUUAAUUAAUUUAAUUAAUAUUUUAAUUUGGAUUAACACUACUAAUUUGUGACUCGAUUAUAUUAGUAAUUAUUUUCUGUAAUUAAUUUGAUAAUAGUUUCUCCAAUCUGCAAUCCAUUUGGUACAAUCCUCGGAAUACUUACCGGUGUUUCGUUGUAAAUUUUACUAUAUUACAAUUUAACCCGUACGCUUGCGGAUACUGCCGAUUUAAUUUUAUAUAUUUUUGAUGUGAUAUUUUUACUAUAAAUGAUAACACGUUUAUAGGCGGUCAUCGUAACACAACUCAUUGACUAGAUCUCGUCAUGACGAUAAGAGUCCGACGUUGCAACGUGACCAUCUGUUUGCAAAUGGCCCAAAAUGGUACCAAAUUGCACUUACCUAAACAAAAAUUCAAUUUUCCAAUAUACUUUUCCAACUAGACACAUAUGUUCCAAAAGUUCAAUUCUAUACAAUACUACCUUAUCCAUAAAUGUAUAAAUGCCAUACAACCAAUUCAUCAUUACCAUUCAACAUAUAAGCUAAUUUCAUGGCACAAACCAUUCAAAACAUUUGACAUAUAUAUAUACUCAAAUAAAGCAUAACAUAACAACUAAUUAUGCAUUUCAAACCUUGUGACAUACUCCAAUUCAUAAUCCAACUAUUUGACCAUUUCCAAAAUAUCAAUUCUAGCUUCAAUUAUGAACGUGAUAACAUAUUAUGCCAAAAUGGACUCAACCUAAAUACAUACCGAAUAUUAAACAAAAUGAGACUAUACAAACAUUAUUGAGUUGAGGACAACUGACUAGAUAUUGGAUCACACUUCGAAACUUCAGAAUUUACCUACAUCUAUGCACGAAGAAAACAAACCGUACGUUGAACGAUAAAGCUCGGUGUUAUUUUUAUGAUUCAAGUCAAUACAAUACAAGUAAAAAUCAAUGCAAACAUUCUACUCUAGUUGUCAACUCACAUACAUACUCAUGUAAAAACUUCCAUUACCAUAUGACUUGCAUAUAUCCAUUUAUGCACUUCAGUUCAUUGCAUAAGUACCUUAACAUAACAUUCAUGCUAUUCAACAAUAAGAUAUCAUUUCUUUCUUUUGUAACAUAUCAACUAAUAACAUAAACUUAAUGAUUAAUUCAUAUAAUUGAACCAUACUAUAUUACCUAAUCAUUUCACACUAUCAUCUAUAAACAUAUACUUGUUCAUACACCAUUAUCAACUUAUAUAUAUACACAUAUAUUCAAUUUUGUCUAAUCAUUUCAAUCAUUUCCAAGCCUAUUGGUUCAUUCAUAUUUAAUCACCCCUCAGGUCUCGAUUUAAUUCAUUUGUAUGGUCUGUCAAAUGUUAUCGAACAUCACAUUUCAUAUGUUUACAAUUAUACCAAAUCAUAUCACAUUUCAUUUCAAAUUACCAUAUAGUCAAAUCAUAUUUAUAUAACCCUAUUAACUGGACACAAACUCAAAAUGGAUACGUAGAUCCGUCACCCCAGGUUGCCUGACAACAAUGACUCUGAACAUGUACAUACUAUCAUCCUGGGUUGCACGAUAAGGAUGGUUUCCAUAAUCAGAUUAUUUUGUCACCUCAGGUUGCUUGACAACGAUAACUCAACAUGUACAUUCUACCACCCCAGAUUUCCUGACAACGAUGAUUUCAAAUCAAUAUCCUGACCCUAUAACAUGCCAAUAAUAUUUGACCCUAUCCGAACAGCUAAUAGGGUAACCAAUUUUCCAAUUUCAUUAUAUGAUUUAAUUCAUAUUCCAAAAUUCUCUAUUUAUUAUCAUUUCAAAAUUUCAUCACAUUUUAUAAUAUGUUUCAAUUCUUUUCCAUACCACAUAUAGCAUUUAAAUCAAAUCAUGCUACUUUCUAUUUAUUCAAUUCAGUCCACUAUUUCAAUUUUCAAUCUCAAUCAUAGCAAUUCAAUUUAAAUAACCAUUAUCAAAUCACUUCAAUACCAUAAUAUGCAAAAUAUCAUGAAUAUGCAAUAACUAAUUUGAUCUCGAAUCAUAGAAAUACAAAUUGAAAUCUUGUAUCACUCGUCGUUAACUAUCAUUUUUUCCUUUCACUAUCAACGACCCGAUGUCAUCUUUAGCUAUGAGUAAUUAUUCAAUAAAUAUACAAUAUCAAUUUUCAUCUGAUUCACAUUCAAAUACAAAGCCAAGCAUAUUUUGUAUUUUAUUCAAUUUAGUCCCUAAACUCGGGAUAAGCAUAAGUUUCAAUAUAUAACAUCAAAUUAAAAUCUGAUUUCACAUUUACUCACUAAGGACCCAAUUUCUAUUCUUGACAUAAUUUCAUAAUAUGUUUCAUUUUAUUCAAUUUUGUCCCUAAUGUAACAAAAUUAACAACUAAGCUUAUUAAGAUUUACAAUUUAGUCCUUUUCAUAAUCUAAGCUAAAUUUCUAUCAAUUUCAAGCCUAAUUCCUCACAUUCUUAACAAUGGAAACUUAUCAAAAUUUCAAAAAUUGAACAAAUUGAUACAUGAGCUAGCUAAAUCAAUCUCUCAUGAUCAUAAAUCUAUAAAAAUCAAAGAAAAAUGUCCAAGGAUUUACUUGUAAACGAUGGUCGAAUGUGCAAAGGUUAAAAAAAUGGCAUUUUCUUGUUGUUGUUUCGAUGGACGAUGAGGAAGAUGAUAUUUGCUUUUAUACUAAGUUUAACCAAUAAAUAACCUUAACUAAUUAAUUAGUUUAAGCAUGUUUUACUUUUAAUUAAUCUUAAUUUAAUAAUAAAUUAACCCUUAAUGGAAGUCAUUAACGAAUCCCACUAACUCCUAUUCUAAAUUAGUUUAUUAACCAUUUUAGUCCCUUGGAUAAUUGCUAUCCAAGUCCCCAAGCCUUUUCUUGAUUAAAAAUCUAUAGCAAUUGGACUUUUACAAUUUAGUACUUGGGUCUUAAUUAACCAUAUUUUCUGCUAAAUUACUUAACUAAAUUAAAUCCGUAAAGUAUUCCUAUUUAAUAUUUACGAGCUUGAUUUACAAAAAUAGGAUUCUGAAACCGCAUUUUUUGACACCACUGAAAAGCAGAUCAUUACAUUUGUAACACCCCUAACCCUUAUCCAUAGCCGAAACAAAGUUACAGAGCAUUACUGGACUUUUUAGAUCAAAUACAAACAUUUCAUAUCAUUUAACAUACAUAUCAGAAACUAAUCAUAAAUCACUCAUAUUGUCCCUUACAUGAGCUCUCGGGGCCCAAAAUACACAUUAGAAAUGAAUCAGGACUAAACCGGAACCUUAGAGAAUUUUUUGCAAAACUUCAGAAUUUUUCUUAGAUGUAGGGGACACACGCUUGUAUGGCUCACACGGCUGAGACACACGCCCAUUUGGACAAAAAUAGGCCAUUUUAAGGCUACAUUUCUCACCCAUAUUUGAUUUCAACCUAAACACUUCAAAUUUCUUACUCAUAGGCCAUAACAAGACCUUCAAUACACUCAACUCAAGCUCUAAGCAUGUCAUAUUAUCUCAUAUAUCAUAGCAUAUCAAAUUUACCAUAUUGAUCAAAACAAAUAUUUGCAUAUUUAUACCAUUUAUUCAAAAAAAUGCCUAUAAACUAUCCAUCAAUUAAUCAUACCUAAACAUAUAUCAAGCAUGAUAAGACUACACACACAUAUAUAAGUUGAUUGGAAAUAUAAACAAAAUAUAAAUUAUAAUAUUUACACGAAAUAACUUUACUCAAAACCAUUCCAACACUAUACAUGCCAUAUAAACCGUAGUGUACAUUUCAAAAGCUACCAGAAUAAGCUAGAUAGUGUGGCUUGAUGUGCUGAUCCAAUCUUUUGAUGUAACAUCCUGAAUUAAGGCUUAGUCAGAAUAGUGGUUUUAGGACCACAAAUCUGACGCUAAAAUAAUUAUGUCAUGAUCAUUAUGAGGUCUAGGAUAAGAAAAUGAUCAUGUGUUAAAGUUUUAAGAAGAAAUUCCAUGUGAAAGGUGUCCAAUUGGAAAUUAGGGACCAAAUUGAAUAAAUUGCAAAACUUGGGUUCUAGAAGCAAUUUGUAUGAAAUUGCUUUGGAAUGUUAAUUAUAGGUCCUAAAAGAGUAAUUUUCCCAAUUUUUAAGUUUUUGCACAAAAAUGGGCAUGCAUGGAAAAUUUUAGAAGUUUAGUAAGGAAGGGUAUUUUGGUCAUUUGGUAAUAAACAAAAUAAAAAGGGAAAAAUAAAGCUAAAAUCAGCUCAUUUCCUUCUCCAUGCUGCCAAAUUCUAAGGGUCUACAUAGCUAGGGUUUUCAACAUUUUCAAGCUUAAUAGUAAGUGCUCCCUAGCCCUGUUUUUAACGUUCUUCAUAUUUUUGAGAUCCUCGUAACAUGCUCUCUCUAUUUCUACCUAAAUUUCAAGCUAGGGUUCAUGUUCAAAAAUUUACCCAUGCAUGAUAUGUUUGUGUUUUGAUGAUUUAUGGAGGGAUAUGAGAGUUUAAAGGAUGGUAAAAAACUUUUACUAAGUGGUUUUUCAUGGAAAUGGCUUAAAGGACUGAAUUGUAGAAGUUGUGGAAAUGGGUAAGAAAAUAUAGAAUGAAGGAAAAACAUGGGCUGCUAUGAGUGUGAAUAGAAUUCGGCUAGGCUUGGGUAGCCAAGGAAUUUUAUGCAUUUCAUUAUACGAGUCUUAGGACUAAAUUGUAAAUAUUGUGAAAGGUUAGGGGCAAAAUGAUCAUUUUGCCCGGGGGUGAGUUUUAGGCCUAAAACAAAUAAUGUGAUGUAUUAAUAAUCUAAUUUUAUUGAUAUAGACCUCGAGGAACCAAUUUCGGAGGUCGAUUGUGGAAAAUGAAAAGUUUCAGAAUAGCCGAGACACGAAACCGAAGCAAUUACCAGGUAAGUUCAUAUAACCCGAAGUAAAAUCUUAAUAUACUUAAACAUGCAUGUUCUUGAAUGUAUAAAAAUUUAGAUAUUCAUUGCAUAAUAAUUCAUGAAAUGUGCUUGUGUAAAAGAAAGAUGAUAAAUUUCCCGGUUGAAAUAGAAAAGGGAAAUCCGAUAGGUAAACUAUGGCUUACAUGACAUGAGAUCCUGCAUGUGUUGUAAAAAAGGAUUUAACCCAGACGAGUAAUCCAAUGAUCUCAAAUAGAAAGGAUCUAGCCCGAACAGGUAUUCCUUGAGUGAUCGAGCCUCCCGAAGAAUAUGAUGCAUUAAGCCCAGACGGGUAAUCUGAUUGAGGACUGAAUUUAGCCUGGAUUGGCAAUUCAAAUUCGAGCUUAUGAGAGCAAUUGUCGUUAAAAAGGGAUUUAGCCUGGACUGGCAAUCCCGACAUUACUCUAUUAGUUACUACUACGGGGGAUUUAGCCUGAACUGGUAAUCCCGACAAUGCUCUAUAAGUUACUACUACGGGAAUUUAGCCUGGACUAGUAAUCCCGUUGUAAGAUAUAAGUUUCACGGGAGCGCGUACUCGAGAUGAUCACUUGUAUGACUUGACGGUAAAUGCCUAUCCAUCAAGAUUUUCUGAGAAAUUCAACGGGAUUAACAUGCUGAAAUAAAGAAUGGGAAUAUUGAAUUGAUGAGCUCAUCUAAGACCAAUGACAUGAUGUAUUGUUAUGAGACUAACUUGAUGAUUGAGUGCAUCUGAUAGGGAAACUAUUUCAUACUUGUUGGAAUUAUUAUUUAAUAUGGUUGUAUGUUAAUUAACUGAUAAGUUUACUUUCCAGUUAUCCAGACUUACUAAGCAUAUAAAUGCUUAGCCCCCUUUUCUCCUUUUCCUAUCUUACAGAGCUUGUGGACUCGUGAAGAUUGGAAGACUGUUGGAGAGUCAACACACUAUCGACUGGUCCUGCUUUGGUAUAUAAAUACUUUCAUUUUGUUUAAUGGCAUGUAUAGGGUUUUUGGUUAUUUUUUUAUAUGUGUCAUUUGGCUAGCCAAUGUAAGGGCCUAAAUGAUAUACUUAUUCUUUUGUAUAUGGCCAUGAGAUAUGGCUCAUAUUGAUUUAGGUUGUAAACCUAAUAAUAAUGUAUGUUUAUGUUUAAAUGUUUCAUGAGAUAUGAUGAUGAGGUUUAUCAUGAAUGGAUGCUUGAAAUGGAACCUAAAAUUUGAGAGUGGACAUAGUAUACAGUGGUAUAUGGUUAUAAUAUGGCCUAAGUAUAAAAUGUGCUAUGUUAAUCCCUAAUGUGAAAAGGAUAAUUUAGCAUGUACUAAACCGAUGAGAUGAGGUUAGCAUGCAAUGAGUUACGUCAAGGUUGUUCAAGAGUGUAAUUAGGCCAUGUUACAUACCACUGAAAUCUAUAAGUGUAUAUGGAUGAUAGAGGGUGACCAAAGGCUUGGAAAAUAGCCCUGAAAAAGUCCACAUGGGUAGACACACGAGCAUGUGUCUAGGCCGUGAGUGACACACGAUUAGCCCCCAUGGGCGUGUUGCUUGGAAAAUAGCCCUGAAAAAGUCCACAUGGGCAUGUGUUGCAGAAAAGGAUUUAGCCCGGGUAGGUAAUCCAAUGAUCUAAAAUAGAAAGGAUCUAGCCCGAACGUGUGUUCCUUGAGUGAUCGAGCCUUCUGAAGAAUAUGGUGCAUUAAAGAUUUAGCCCAGACGAGUAAUCCGAUUGAUGACUGAAUUUAGCCUGGACUGGCAAUUCAGAUCCGAGCUUAUGAGAGCAAUUAUUGUUAAAAAGGGAUUUAGCCUGGACUGGUAAUCCCGACAUUGCUCUAUGAGUUACUAUUACGGGGGAUUUAGCCUGGACUGGUAAUCUCGUCGUAAGAUAUAGGUUUCACGGGAGUGCAUACUCGAGAUGAUCACUUGUAUGACUUGACGGUAAAUGGCUAUCCAUCAAGAUUUUCUAAAAAAUUCAACGGGAUUAACAUGCUCAAAAAAAUAAUGGGAAUAUUGAAUUGAUGAGCUCAUCUAAUACUAAUGACAUGAUGUAUUGUUAUGAUAUUAACUUGAUGAUUGAGUGCAUGUGAUAGGGAAACUAUUUCAUGCUUGUUGGAAUUAUUGCUUAAUAUGGUUAUAUGCUAAUUAACCGGUAAGUUUACUUUUUAGUUAUCUGGACUUACUAAGCAUAUAAAUGCUUACCCCCCUUUUCUCCUUUCCUUGUCUUACAGAGCUCGUGAACUCGUGAAGAUUGGAAAACGGUUGGAGAAUCAACAUACUAUCGACUGGUCCUACUUUGGUAUAUAGAUAAUUUCAUUUUGUUUAAUGCCAUGUAUAGGGCUUUUUGUUAUUUUAUUAUAUAUGUCAUUUGGCUAGCCAAUGUAAGGGUCUAAAUGGUAUACUUAUUCUUUUGUAUAUGGCCAUGAGAUAUGGCUCAUAUUGAUGUAGGUUGUAAACCUACUAAUGAUGCAUGUUUAUGUUUAAAUGUUUCAUGAGAUAUGAUGAUGAGGUUUAUCAUGAAUGGAUGCUUGAAAUGGAACCUAAUAAUUUGAGAGUGGACAUAGUAUACAAUGGUAUAUGGUUAUAAUAUGGCCUAAGUAUAAAAUGUGCUAUGUUAAUCCCUAAUGCGAAAAAGAUAAUUUAGCAUGUACUAAACCGAUAAGAUGAGAUUAGCAUGCAAUGAGUUACGUCAAGGUUGUUUAAGAGUAUAAUUAUGCCAUGUUACAUACCAUUGAAAUCUCUAAGUGUGUAUGGAUUAUAAAGGGUGACCAAAGGCUUGGAAAAUAGCCCUGAAAAGGUCCACAUGGGUAGACACACGGGCAAGUGUCUAGGCUAUAUGUGAUACACGGUCAGCCCCCAUAGGCAUGUUGCUUGGUCGUGUGUUCCCUACACCUAAAAAUUUAGGUCAGCUUGCAUGGUAGUAAACACACGGGCAGAGACACGGUUGUGUGUCUCAAUCAUGUGGAGGAGACGGCCUAGCACACGGGUGUGUGCCUAAAAAUGAAUGAUGACGUCAUAAACAGAAUGUUCACGUUUUUGGACACAUGAGAAGACACAUGCGUGUCUAGGCCAUGUGAGGCACACGGGCCAAGGACAUGGGCGUGUGCUUGGCCGUGUGAAAACCCAUGUAGGUUUGAAGUGAAAAAUAAAUCCAAAUAAUUCAAUGCGGGUGGGACACACGGGCGUGUCCCUAAGCACACGGGCGUGUGUUUUGCCUCCACACGAGCGUGUGAGGCAUAACCCUAGUAAUUUUACUAAAAUUUUCUAUAGUUCUCUGUUUAGUCCCGGAUCUCUUUUAAUAUAUGUUUUGGGCCUCGUAGGCCUAUAAUAGGGACAUUAUGAUGUUGCUUGAUUGGUUUUAAAUUAAAAUGAAAUUUUAUAACACGUAUUUUCUGAAAGUGUUCAAGUAUAUGUCUGGUAACACCUCGUACCUUGUCCCGGUCUUGGGUACGGGUAAGGGGUGUUACAUCCGACCUCUCAAAAAUCUACAAAGACAUUAAAUAACACAAAUAAGCUAUAAGUUCGAUGGGUUAAACUUAAAUUUUACCGAACCUACUAUAAUAAAUCAAUUAGAUAAAUUCAUUUAAUGUAAACUCCUUGCCAAUCACAGCUUCAAACGAUGAAUAUACUUAUUUUAGAUCAAUACCAAUAACAAACAAUAUGUUUUUCAAUUUCAAUUACAUAAUCACUUACCAAAUCUUCCCAAAUUAGAGAACAGCUUACGGAUAAGAGUACAUCGUUUUCAGAAGCCCUAAAGCUGAAUAGAAGCUCAUGAAAGCUAAAUAGAAACCCAUAAGGGUUGAACAUAAGCUCGUAAGAACUGAACGGAAACCCAUAAGGGUUAAACAGAAGCUCAAAAGAGUUGAAUGGAAACCCGUAAGGGUCAAACAGAAGCUUAAAAGAGCUGAAUGGAAACUCAUAUGAGUUAAACAGAAGCUCGUGAGAGCUAAAAGGAAAGUAAACACAAAAUUUCUCAACAAUACUGAACCUCGAUUUACUUGGGUAAUUUUUUGUCAAUUCCUCUAAUGUCGUCUUGCGCGACAAAACGAUUGUACUCAAAUCUUGCGUUCUAUUUUAUCCGGAUAUUCAAUUCAAAAGCAUAACUCCAUCAAUAAUUCAUUUAUAAAAAUAGAAUAAAUAAAAAAAAUCAUUCACCACAAAUCAAUGUAAAUAUUAAAUUUUAACCGUAUGAACUUACCUAGUUUAAAUUGUAAGAUUUGCAGAAGUUCAGGGACUAUUUCGCUAAUUUUCCUUUUUCACGAGUAUCUACAGGAUCUUGAUCUAAAAUAUAAAAUUACUCAUCCAUUAGCAUAUAUUUCAGUUCCCCAUUCACUUCACAAUUAAUACCCCUCAAUUUUUUGAAAUUACACAAUUAUCUCAACUUUUACAACUUUUGCAAUUUAAUCCCUUAACUAGUUGGUCCAUUAAAUGAACUAAUUUUUCUCAAUUGAUAAUUUAUCUAAAUAUUCUAGGCUAUUAUACAGCCCUUGAUAAAUAGAAAUUUAAUACAAAACCCUAAUAUUUAACAUUUUCACAAUUUGGUCCUAAAAUCAAUAUCUAACAAAAAUCACUUUAUAAAAUCAUCAUACAACAAAAUCAAAGCUUUAAAUCCAUGUUAUUUUAUCAAAAACAUCCAGUAUUCAUCAAUGGUAAUUUUCAAAAUUCUCAAUAAAAUAAAAAACUAAGGUAAUAACUAGUUAGACCUAAUUGUAAAAGUCUUAAAAACAUAAAAAUUACAAGAAAAUGGUAAGAAUUAAACUCACUUGAAGUAAAAAUAUAAAAAAUAGCUUAAGGAGCUCUCCUAUGGCUGCUUUUGGCUGAAAAUUGAAGAAGAAUUUGUCUAGAAACCUUUAAAGUUUCAAUUUGUAGUUUUAAUUUUGUUUUAUUUACUAUUUUGCCAUUAAAUGGCUAUUUUUUUAUUUUCACUACUCAUGCCGCCUCAACCAUUUCAUUUUGGCUUAUUUCCUCUUUAAGUCCUCUCUGUUUACCAUUUAAGAUAUUUAUGGCUCAGUUUAUAGAAUCGAGGUCUCGAUACCUCAUUUUCUAAACCACUUGACCUAAUAAAUCCUUAUAAAAUACAAAUUACUAAUUUAAAAAUCUUUCUAAAACCACAUUUGACUCAUAAAUACUAAAUAUUAAAAUUUACUAGCUUACUUGUCGGAUUUGGUGGUCUCGAACCACUAUUUCUGACACCAUUGAAAAUCGGGCUGUUACAACAUUGGUAGUUGGACUAAUAUGAAAAUCAUUGAAGUAAUAACACUUGAUGAUUAUGACUUUGUGGUUGGUAUAAUUUUCCUUGACCGGAUUAAUAUAUUUCUUAUCCCUUUUACUAAUUACAUGUGCAUUUUGGAUUAGUGCCACUAAUGUGUGGUACCGAUUAAAUGUGAGGUAGGUGCGGAAGCUCAUGUCUUAUUCGUAAUACAAUUUGCUAAUGGGGUGUGUAGAGAUGAAGUUUCUUACUUAGAAACUUUGAAGGUUAAUGGGUCUCAUAAGCCUAUUGAGGAGAUCCCAAAAGUGGUGGUUCUUUUGUUAUAGUUUUUUCGAGAUGUGAUGUCUGUCGAGUUGCCCAGAAAAUUACCUCAUAAGAGGGAGGAUCACAGGACUGAGUUAAUGCCCAAUGCCAAAUCACCAACCAAGUCCUCAUAUUGAAUUUCACCGCCAAAAUUGGAGGAAACUAGAAACAAUUGAAGGAUAUCUUAGAUGCUGGGUUCAUUAGACCAUCUAAAACUCCAUAUGGUGCACCGAUUUUGUUUCAGAAAAAGCUUGAUGAGUUUUUGAGAUUGUGCAUCAACUAUCAAGCAUUGAACAAGAUCAUUGUGAAGAACAUGUGCCAAAUUCCACUCAUUGCAGAUUUGUUUGAUCAACUUAGUAGUGUAAGGUGGUUUACCAAGUUGGAUUUGAGGUCGAGGUACCAUCAAGUCAAAGUAGUCGAAGAGGAUGAACCAAAGACAACUUGUGCGACGCAUUAUGAUUCGUAUAAGUUCUUUGUUAUGCAUUUUGGAUUAACAAUGUUCCAAGGACAUUUUUUUACCCUGAUGAAUAAGGUACUACAACCUUUUUCAGAGUAUUUUGUGAUUUUUUAUCUUGAUGAUAUUGUAGUGUACAAUAAGUAAAUCACUUGAGAAGCAUGUGAUGCAUUUAAGGGAAGUGUUUCAAAUCUUGUAACAGAAUAAGCGUUAUGUUAAAGAGGAAAAAUGCUCAUUCACAUAGCACGAGGCAUCUUUCUUAUGUAACAUUGAGGGAAGUGGUAGAAUUUGGAUGGAUAGGAGCUAAAUUCAGGCUAUUGUUGAUUAACAACUUUCUACUGAAGUAGAAAUGAGAAACAAAGCCACCAAGGAAAAUGAAAACAGGGACUAACGAAACCCAAGCUAAGAAAUGGCCAUGUUGAUCACCUCUUUGAUACCUGACAUGGGUUAAAGUCACGACUUUUAAUGGAUGAUCAACUCUCAUGGUGAAAUUUCAAGUCAAUCUAAGAAGCUAAAAUUAAAAUCAAUUUCAAGUGGGAUGUAGUUUGGGAGGAUUGAGUUUUAACUGGUGUUUCAAUUCAAUGUUUAUUUCUGGAGAAACUGCUGGUAAUGAAAAAGGUGUGAGUGGGAAAAUUCAGGUUAGGGAGAGAGAUGUAUACACCGACGAAGAAACAACCACGGUGUUGCCUUACAUGUGGGAAUAAAGGAAGACACACGUUGAUAGAUCCUACCUUGUUAUUUUCUUAAAAGGUCAGGGGUAUUAUUGGUUUUCCAACAUGAAGAGAAUGUCAAAUUAACGUCUAAUCUGAGAUGUCGGUCGUGAGCCGUUAAUGCAAUCCGACGGAUGAGAAAGAAACCCUAGUUGAGCCAAAGCUGAGAGUGUGGCUGGCUACUUAAGAUAAAGCAGCCUGCUCUCGCCUUCUCUUGUUCUCGCUCAACGCUCUUUUCUUCUGCUUCUGGUCAAGCCAAUAUCAAAAGACUUCCCUUUUAGCUCACAGGUAUGAAUCCAUUUACAACUUAUGAUUAUCUUUCAAAUGUUAUUGCUUUGAUUCGAAAGAAAAGGUAGUCUGAUUUGUUGGUAGCUGAAAUAUUAUAUCUGAUUUGCUGAAAUGGUUCUCAUACGAUUCAUAUUUUGUGUGUAGUUUCGAUCUGAUUCUUUGUUUUUUUGGUUGUGUUUUUAGAUUUCAUUCAUGAAAGUAAGUUUUGAACUCUGGAAUUUAUUUUUCUGAGAAAAUAAUUCCUGUGAUAACUGGUUUAUAGAAGCAAAUGCUGCCUAAGGGAAAUUUUUUAACGAAUAAUUAAAAUUGUCGAGUAUUAUUUUCUUAGUUUAGUUUGGCUUCGAUGGAAAUGUUUGACUAGCUUCAUGGGAAAGGAUAAGUUAAGAUCUAGUGGCUGUAGUUCAUUGGAAUGAACUCCAUAUCUAUGGAGGAACUGGGCUCGAAUCCCAGCGGCCACGUUUUAUCAAUGUUGGAUCUGUUGAAUUUAAAUGGGGCUUGAUUUUCUUUUUCGAAAUUGACUUGAACUGUUCUUAGUAAACAAUAAAAGUGGGUCACAGAUUCAUUGUUUCUUGUCCGCAAGAUGUUGGUCUUCUUGUGUGAUUUUGACUUGAAAUUAUGUUUUGAGCUUAUUUAAUUAAUUAUUACAUAUAUUUAAUGAUUUUCAAAUUUAAUAUCAGCUAAAUGACACUGUAGUUAAAUGUAAUAUAAAAAAUAUUAAUAAUUAAAAUAUAUAACAUUUUAAAUAAAAAAUAAAUAAAUAUUAAAACUAUAAUUAACUUUGAUUUAAUGUGCAAUUGUUUAUAUUAAUUUUAAUUUGAUAUAAUUAUACAUGUACAACUUUAAUUGUGAUUUAAAUGUAUACUUAAAACUUUAAUUUUAAUUUAAUCAUCCUCAUUUAAAGAAAUAAAUACAUUAAUUUAUUUUUAUACCGGAUAAAUAUAAUUAUUUAUAUAUGUAACAUAUAAACAUAAAAUAAUAUUAUAUUAAUAAUUGUGUUAAUAAUUUAUAAUAAUUGUAUCAAAUUAACAUUUAACUUACAUACUCUUGUAUUAGUGACAAUAUUAAUACCAAUCGAAUUAAGACUCAAUCCAAAUAUUGCUAGGUUACUUCUUUAAAAGAGAAUAUUAGUUUAAUACUUUUAAAAUUCUCAUAACAGCAAUUCCUAAAAAUAUUCGUGGCACACAGUAAAUCACACGCAACUUCAAUGAACUAAUUUUUAGAUAUGAUAGGAAAAAAUAAAAUAAACCCAAGAUAACAGGUGUAAACACACGAUUGAGGCAUACAUGGAUUAUAUUCACUAUGGAGCUCUCAAAGAUACUGUGAUUUAUUAGUAGAUGAAAGUACCAAAAAAUAUUAUAAGCUGACACCGAACAAGAUUGUAAAAGGAAAGCAAAAAAAAGUAAACUCUCCUGUCAGUUGCAUGAUGAAGAAAUAGAAUUAAGAAACAGUUCCUGAGGUUUGCACAAAGCAAAUACUCAUAACAAUUAAACUCAGAUGAAGCAUCCAUCAUCAAUCACACUUCAACUCCUCUCAUUUGUCCUUUGAAUCUCAUAACCUGUGAUUAAAAAAAUUUUAAUAAAGUGAGCUCAAUGCAAAUGUUAUUUCCAAAUAAACUAGCGGUUGCGGUUAAAUUUUGUCAUAUUUGCUAUUACUUCUUUAGAUUAUGUUGCAGGAUUUUGUCGAAGACAAGAACAUACACUGCGCUUUCAAUAAUUUUCAAAUAUGAAAUGCCAAGAUCAAACAUCAUAGGUUGAGUAGAAAAACUGACCAUAUCAUGAGCACCACUCUCUGGCAUUUUGGAACAUUCUUAACCAUGGACUAGGGCCUUUCUUGUCCACAUUCCAGUCCUUUGGAUACCAAGGGAACUGCCACAUCAGGAAACACCGCUCUGGAUGAGGCAUCAUGGCAAGAUGUCGACCAUCAGGAGAACAAAUUGCAGCCACUCCUAAUGGAGAACCAUUCAAGUUGAAGGGGUAUGCCUCUGUUGGGUUCCCAUCAUCGUCGCAAUAUCUUAAUGGAGCCAAAUCUGAAUGUAAUACACGAUCCAGAACACCAUCAUCAGGAAAAUAUGCUCUUCCCUCACCAUGGGCAGCCCAUACACCUAAUGUACUGCCUUCCAUUCCUUUAAACAUCAUGGCAGGAGAGUCCUUUAUAGUCACACUUGUGAACCGGCAUUCAAAUCGGCCAGACUCAUUGUGCACAAACCUGGGUUGUGAUGGGUCCCCACCAGCACCAAAAACACCCCCCACUUGUGGCCCUGGAAUCCACCCUAACAGAGCCAUUAACUGACAUCCAUUGCAAACGCCAAGACUGAAAGUAUCAGGGCGCUUGUAGAAUUCCUGAAACUGAUUGAGAAGAGGCUGAUUGAAGCGUAUGGACGCAGCCCAACCUUUUGCAGAAUCAAGCACAUCGGCAUAACUAAAACCUCCAACAAAUGCAACUCCACGGAAUUCAUUCAAAGAAAUAACUCUGUUAAGAAGGUCCGACAUUGCAACAUCCCAAGGCUCAAAACCAGCAGCAUAAAAUGCUGCUGACAUUUCUCUGUCUCCAUUGCUCCCUUCCUCACGAACGAUGGCUACUUUCGGUUUUAAAGUUGUAGUAAAACAUUUCUCAUCCGUAACUGAAGGAGUGAAAGACAAGGGCCAAGAAGGCUCAUGCCGGAACUUCAAACCUUCUUUCUCCAGUUCCACACAAGAUGCCAAUCUCUGCAACUUUUCGAGCUGGAAACUUGUAUCCUCCCACAUAUCUCUCAGCAGAGAAGUUUUCUCAUUUAAAUGAGUAAUUCCAUCAACCUUGAGCUCUAUCACAGGUGAGGUGGUUACUCGUCCUAUUAUCUCAGCAGAAACAUCCACACUGCUAAGCUUCUCCAUCACACUACCCAAGUUAUUCUUGCUUACCUCAAGAAUGACACCAAGCUCUUCAGCAAAAAGUGAUUGGAAAACACUAUUUCCUAGAGAAGCCAAGUCCAAUGCAAUGCCACAAUUUCCAGCAAAUGCCAUCUCCAACGCGCAAACUAGUAAUCCACCAUCACUGAUAUCAUGACCUGCAGAGAUCAGACCAUCUCCAAGAAGAUCCUGCACCCCCUCAAAAACUCUCUUCAGGUAGGAAACAUCAUCAAUAUCAGGGCAGUCAUUCCCAAUCUGAUCAAAAACCUGAGCCAAAGCGGAUCCACCCAGACGCCGCUUUCCCUUUGCCAAAUCAAUAUGAAGCAAAAUACCAUCAUCACCUUGCUUCAAAUCUGGGGUUACCGUUUUUGUUAUGUCAGGACAAGUGACAUAAGCACUAAUUACAAGAUUUCCUGGAGCCUUAACAACCUCCCCACCUGCAUGGGCAGCCAUUGACAGACUGUCCUUCCCACCAUCAAUAGCGAUACCAAGUUCAAUCAUUGCUUCUGAAAGAGCAAUAGCAGCGUCAUACAUGGCUGCUCCUUCACCCUCAAGCUUGGCAGCAUACAUCCAAUUUCCACUUGCUUUGACAUCAGACAAAGAAGUAACCUUUGCCCAAACAAGAUUUGUGAGAGCUUCUCCAACAGCAAGUCUAGCCAUUGCUUUUGGAUCAAGCAGCCCCUUGAUAGGCUGCUCUCCAAUGGCACAGGCACCCCCAGUUAAGUCAACAUAACUUUGAGCAAUGACUGCAACAUCGGCUAGAGGUAACUGCAAGGGACCAACCGUUUGCUGCUGUGCUACAAGACCUGUUACACAUCUAUCAACUUUUGUUGUCAAAAACCGUUUGGAACAUACAGAUGGAAGUCUUAAUACUCUCUUCAAUGAGUCCAUGACUGUGAUUGCAGGAGCAACAUCAAGCGGUUCUCGUGCAUAAGACACUCGCUUGAAUUCAAAGGAUUUUUGAGGCAUGUCACCAAGCACUUUCUCAAGCUCAAGAUCAACAGCUGGAGGAGGGGGAGGGAGUCCACUUGCACGACUUUUUUCAACAGCUACGCUAUCAACUAGAACAACACGUCCCUCACCAUUAAUAGUCCCAAUAACAGCCAUUGAAAGUCUUUCCCUUGCACAUAUUGAUUCCAACAGCUUGCGGCUUUCAGGUUUUACCAAGAUUGCGUCUUGUUCUUGAUACUCUGCACCCCAUAUCUCCAAAACAGACAUAGUGUGAUCUCCAACAACAAUGGCUCUAAUAUCAAUCUCAGCACCCUUUGGGUAUAUGAUUUCCUUGACAACAUUGCAAUUCCCACCAGCUCCCUGAUCAUGAAUGCUAAUAAUCGGGUUAUCCUCCCCCAUCUCAAUGCAGGCACGAACUACACGGUAUAGUUUUUGUGCCAUUUCUGCAUCUCCACGCUGUACAGCAUUAAAAUCAAGUUCUGCAUCGUUCUGGCCACUAACCAUACUAGACGCAGCUCCACCACCCAUUCCAAUACGAUAUGCAGGGCCACCAAUCUUUACAACUAACAUUCCAAUUUCUGGGUCCCCUUUCGAUAUAUAAGUGUGAUCAAUCUGUCCAAUGCCUCCACUAAACAUGAUGGGCUUCAACCAUUCACGACGUUCACCACUAGGGAGUCUUAUUCCAAAUGUUCUAGUAAAACCCUGGAUUAAUGGCUCACCAAAUUUGUUACCAUAGUCAGAUGCACCAUUGCUAGCCUCGAUGAGAAUUUCCAAAGGAGAAGCCAAAUUUGAUGGAUAAGUGAAAGACGAGUCUUCCCAUGGGGCAUAUGAUCCCUCUAUAUUAAGAUUCCCAGUUGUGUAACCAGCUGUGGAUGCAACAACAAAUGAUCCUCUUCCAGUGGCAUGUGUAUCCCUAAUGCGGCCACCUGCACCUGUCUCUGCACCAGGGUAGGGUGCCACUGCACAUGGGAAGUUAUGUGUUUCAGCUGUAAACAAGACAUCAAUUUCACGAGUUGUUUCAUUUAGUAGGCAGGCAGUUCCAGGCUUAACUGGUAGUAAUCGGUAUGCAAGAAACCCUUUUAUUGCACUCGAAUUAUCCUUAAAACCAAUGACAGAAUUAUUUGGGUUUGCUUUCAAAGUGCUCUUGACAAUUUGCAUGAGGGUCCUAUCCAUGGGCUGUCCAUCAAUAACAAUCUUCCCUGUGAAAAACCAAUGCCUGCUAUGCUCACUGUUAGAUUGGGCGAUAUCAAAUAACUCUACAUUCGUCGGAUUCCGCUUUAUGUCCUCCACAAACAGCCUGGUAUAGUACUGCAAGUCUUGUUCAUCAAAUGCUAAACCCAUUUCGUGAUUUAUUUCCUCCAACGCUUUCCUUCCCCUCUCAAUGAUAGGCACAAAACGAACCUCCUCCAGAGCCACACUAGUUUCAAAUGAAGCGAGCCUCUGCCAAUAAACACACUCCGUCAUCCGAUCAUGAACCAUUGCAGCAAACUCAUUAAUUUGAUUUUCCUGCAAUGCUCCCUUACUAUACAACAAGUAUCUUCUGGACCUCUCCAUUCGAGUCACCUCAGUCAAGCCACAUGAUUGACAAAUUGAAACAGCAUUCGAGGACCAUGCUGUUGUAAAAGACAACCUUGGCCCAACUUCAACUAUCACUGGAUUCAACCCUUCUUGCCUCUUCUUCACAAGAAAACUCUCAGUUGCCAAAUUUUCAGGUUCGUAUGUUUCCCCAAGAAUCCAUUUAAGUGUUGAGAACUUCUCAGAUGAAAUCUUUGAAGCAAGGCCUAUAUUAAAACACUGCUCGGUUUUCAACCCAACAAUCUGAUUGGAAACUUUGGUUUGUACCGAUUUGAGAAGCUCGUCGUUUGCACUUUCUUGUAUCAAAGGGAUGCGGUAAAAAUGGACGACCUCUUGAGCAGGCUUUUCAAUCAAUCCAGGUUGCUCAUCAACCGAACUAGUAGGGACAUUUCCAGAAGCCAUUGCUUUAGGCUUUGACCGAGAAGAGCACCUCAAAGAAGCACCUUUUGUGUUAGACAGGUAUCCCAUCCGGCUUGGAUUACAUAGCUUGCCCCAUAAUAGAUUCCUUGGCUUAAUCGAAGAAUUUCUCUGCAAAAACAGAGUUUGCCUUGUUGUACCCUGAAAUAAGGCAAAGUGCACCAAAAAACGAAGAAGAAAGUUAUGAACCUGAAUCAGUUUGCAAGAGCUCAAUGCAGUUUUUAUUUGUUAAAUAAGAAAAAUUAAAGGAAAACAACAGUCCUAUAUCUUAGCUAAAACAAGGAAAACCCGUACGUGGAAAAUUUCUUUAACACACUUUCUCGGAGUCCAAACAGAGUGUAGACCAUAAAGGAAAACUUACUUGCAGGAACUCUGCCGCAGUUAUCUCUCUUACCCCAGCCAUUUUCAAGUAGCUGCAAGAAUACAAACCCAGAGGACAAAAUAAGUUGUAUUCAGAUAAUAAAGUUUAGGGUUUAGGCCUUAAACCCUAUUCAGAUAAUAAAGUAAAGAAAUGGAACCAAAAUCACAGCAGAAAGAGAUGAAAGGAAGAACAGUUUGUAUAAAAGUGAAAUAAGAGGCAGUAAGUAGUGGGAACGUAGGGAACUAACCAGAUUUUUAAGUCUUCAGUUUGGAGUGAUGACCAAAAACCCUACUCUCUUUAUUCUUUUUCUUUUUUUUUUUCAUUUUUUUUUCUAAUAUUCGUUUGUAUUUUUUUGCGCCGAAUCCUUUGAUUGUGGGGACUAAAUAGUCCCCCACGAAUCCACUAGUCUAAUUUUAUACCUAUUAUCGGCACUCAGUUACAAAAUUAUAAAUAUUUUUUAUUAUAAUUAAUAUUUGUUUUUUAAAGAAUAAACAAUAUUAUUAUUGUAAUUAUCGGAUUUUAACUUUUGUCAGAAAGUAGAAUUUUGGAAUUCGAUUUCAUAAAUCGAGAUUGUGAAAUUAUAAGUAGAAGGAUUAAUAUGAAAUAUAUCAAAUAAUGGUUAAAAAAUUAAAUCGAAAAAAUUAUUAAUUAAAAUUUAUGAAUUAAAUUGUAAAAUUCAAUUGUUACUAAAUUUUAAAUUUAAAAAAUAUAGAGAACUUAAUUAAUACUAAACCUAAAGACAUUGGAAUAAAUUGAUGAUUAUUAAAAAUAUUAAAAGAUGAAAAUAUAUCACAAUUUUUACACUUCCAUCAAUUUCUUCAUUUAACAAAAAAAUCAAAUUGAGAAAGUUAAAAAUUAAGAUGAAAAUAAUAAGAAAGUGAGAAAAUUGAAGUGAAUCCACUAAAAGUGAGAAAAUUGAAGUGAAUCCACUAAUUGAUUAUUAAACAUAUAUUAUAUUAAAUGAUAGAGAUAUUAUUCAGUACAAAUAAUAUGAAAAUAUAAAAUAAAAUUUUAAAAUUUAGAAGAAAACUAUUUUAAUUAAUUUCAAUAUUAUAGUAACAAAUCGAUUAAAGAAAGAAAUUCAAAAUUCAGAUUUUUAUGUUUUGAAGUUUACAAUUAAUGUUAAAAAAUCAAAUUUUAAUUAAAAAUAUUAUUUUGAGUGAAACUAAUAGAUUAAUCCAAAUAUAUUUUAAGAAAAAAAAUAUGCAUUUUUAACUUGUACGCAUCUUUUCAUUUUUAAAAAUUUAAAUAUUGUUAAAAAAAUUUUGGGGGAAAAUAUUGUUAAAAUUUUAAUUAUAUAUUCAAAUUUUUAACCAAAAAUAAUACAUUUAAAUUUGAAUAUAUAAAUUAUAUAUUAAAAUUAAAUCUAAUUUUCUAAUGAAUAAAUAUAAUACACUUAAAUUAAUACAAACAAUAACUCGUAGAUCAAUAUAUCUCUGAUUCUUAAUAUUAUUUAAAAAAAAUGUAUGAUCUAAAUAAAAGAAAAAAAAUACUAAAUUUAGGCCUAGGUCUGGGAAACACUGAGCUCAAGAAGAAAAGAAACGAGUAGAAUCGGACAAAGUAAAUCCAAUUAAGAUAUUGCAAGUUAUCACAUGUUGAAGUUUUAACCAGGUAAUAGUAAUUAAAGGGUAGUAAAAUACAGGGACGUAUUUGUAAAAUAUGACCUAUGUUCUGUAUAACACACACAAAAAACAAAACAGCAGUAUGAUCUUAACCAACACACAGCAUCCUCAACAUCAAUGUUCCAAUCUGGUUUCUCAUGCAGUAGUAGAUCUGUUGAAUAUUGGCAAUAUCCCACAUUAGGAAAAGAUAGAAAGGGAGGGGGUUUGGUUUGUUAUAUAUAGAACCCCUCCCCCUUUGGUUGUAUUAUCCCAAAAUCUUCUCCUUUGUAAUAUUUCUAGAAGAAAUAUUAAUUUGGUAGUGUCCGAGGACGUAAGCUAAAUUGGCCGAACCUCGUUAAAUCUCUGGUAUUUUAUUUCUUAUUUGUUUGCUUAUAUUUAAUAGCUUUAUGUUGGUUAUAUUUAUUUAGUUAUUAUUGCUAUAAAUAUCUAAGUGAGUUCUGUCUAGUUGUUGGGUUUUAAGCGGGACCAUUUGUGACCCCUCCAAUUUAACUGGGAAUUUUCUUAGUAUAAUUGUUGGCACAACUACCAAAAGGGAAGAAGGCGAUUGGUUGCAAAUUUGAAGACACUAUUGAAAUUAGUGUUAUGAGAAGAUGUUCGAAGAUGUGGAAUAUCGCCAAGGUGGAGAUUUGUUGAAUAUUGGCAAUAUCCCACAUUAGGAAAAGAUAGAAAGGGAGGGGGUUUGGUUUGUUAUAUAUAGAACCCCUCCCCCUUUGGUUGUAUUAUCCCAAAAUCUUCUCCUUUGUAAUAUUUCUAAUAUUCAACAAAUCUCCACCUUGGCGAUAUUCCACAUCUUCGAACAUCUUCUCAUAACACUAAUUUCAAUAGUGUCUUCAAAUUCAGAAACCAGCUCGUUUCACUGACAUGGUAGCUUAUGCACUUCCAGUUGUUGAUAAUAUUCCAUCCACUUACACCGAAGCCAUUCAGAGUUUAGAGAAUAAUAGAUGGUUAGGUGCAAUGGAAGAGGAAAUGCAAUCUCUAGAGAAAAACAAGACGUGGAAGCUGGCACAACUACUAAAAGGGAAGAAGGCGAUUGGUUGCAAAUUUGAAGACACUAUUGAAAUUAGUGUUAUGAGAAGAUGUUCGAAGAUGUGGAAUAUCGCCAAGGUGGAGAUUUGUUGAAUAUUAGAAAUAUUACAAAGGAGAAGAUUUUGGGAUAAUACAACCAAAGGGGGAGGGGUUCUAUAUAUAACAAACCAAACCCCCUCCCUUUCUAUCUUUUCCUAAUGUGGGAUAUUGCCAAUAUUCAACAAAUCUCCACCUUGGCGAUAUUCCACAUCUUCGAACAUCUUCUCAUAACACUAAUUUCAAUAGUGUCUUCAAAUUUGCAACCAAUCGCCUUCUUCCCUUUUGGUAGUUGUGCCAGCUUCCACGUCUUGUUUUUCUCUAGAGAUUGCAUUUCCUCUUCCAUUGCACCUAACCAUCUAUUAUUCUCUAAACUCUGAAUGGCUUCGGUGUAAGUGGAUGGAAUAUUAUCAACAACUGGAAGUGCAUAAGCUACCAUGUCAGUGAAACGAGCUGGUUUCUGAAUUUCUCGUCUCUGCCUUCUGACUGCAAUUGGCUCUGAUUGCUGUUGAGGUUCUUGGGUAGAAACCUCUUCCUCAUCUGACUCUGCAUCUGCCAAUGAAGAAUCACUAGUGGUACCUUCUGCUGGAAUUACCACACUCUGCUCAAACUCCACCUGCUGCGGAGUACACUCCACCUGCUGCGAAGUACUACUCACUCCUUCUGGAUUUACCUUAUUCAACAUGGCAGAUUCAUGAAAGGUAACAUCCCUACUGAUUAUCGUCUUCUUUGCCUCUAGACACCACAAACGAUAUCCCUUAACACCAGCAUUGAAGCCCAUGAAUAGAGCCUUCUUUGCUCUUGGAUCUAACUUUGAUUCUUUCACAUGAUAAUAUGCAAUAGAACCAAAAAUGCGCAAGGUGUCAUAAUCAGUAGCAGGUUUUCCAUACCAUUUCUCCAAAGGAGUCUUGCUAUUUAUAGCAGAUGAUGGCAAAUGAUUGAUGAGAUGUUGAGCGUACGUCACAGCCUCAGUCCAAAACUUUCUAUCUAAUCCAGCAUUAGAUAACAUACAUCAAACUUUCUCCACAAGCGUUCGAUUCAUACGCUCUGCCACCCCAUUCUGUUGCGGUGUUCCACCUACGGUGAAGUGCCUUACUAUGCCACAAUCUUGGCAUAUCUUCAGGAAAGGAUCGCUUUUAUAUUCUCCACCGUUGUCUGAUCGGAGAACCUUAAUCUUCCUUCCUGUCUGAUUUUCAACUUUAGUUUUCCACUUAAGGAAAACUUCAAGCACCUCAUCUUUGUUCUUCAUAGGAAACACCCAAACUCGUCUGAAAAAAUCAUCAAUAAAGGUGACAAAAUAACGUCUUCCUCCAAGUGAUGGAGUCUUGGACGGUCCCCAUACAUCAGAAUGCACAUAAUCCAGAAUACCUUUAGUAUUGUGAAUCCCAGUGCCAAAUUUCACCCUUCGUUGUUUUCCCAGAACACAAUGCUCGCAAAAUUCAAGUUUGCAAGUCUUUGUACCUUUCAAUAAUCCUUGCUUGGCUAGAGUUUGCAAGGAUUUUUCACCAGUAUGGCCCAAACGCAUAUGCCACAGCUGUGUUGCCUCAGCGUCCUUCUUGGUACUCGAAAUUGCUGCUGCUGUUGUCCCAACCACUAUACUACCUUGGUAGUAAUACAGAUUGUUCUUUCUUAUGCCUUUCAACAUCACCAAUGCUCCUGAAGUUGCUUUAAGAACUCCAUCUCGUAUUGUCACAACUAGGCCUUCAGAUUCUAACGACCCCAAAGAGAUGAGAUUCUUCUUCAACUUUGGGACAUAUCGUACAUCCCGCAAAAUUCUAGUAGAUCCAUCAUGACUCCUCAGUUUAAUUGAACCUAUCCCGGCUAUUUUACAUGUGUUAUCAUUACCCAUGUAAACAACCCCUUCAUCUAGUUUUUGAAAUUCAAAGAACCAUUCCCGAAUGGGACACAUAUGGUAGGAACAACCAGAAUCCAUGAUCCACUCAUCUGCAUAUAAUGUUGAAGAUGUCAUACUAAGAGAAAAGUCUGACUCUGCUUCACUAUUGCAUUCUGCAACAUUUGCAUCUUGCGGAGUCUUCCAUUUUUUCUUCAAUUUUGGACAAUCUUUCUUCCAAUGUCCUUUUUCUUUGCAAAAAGAACAUUCAUCUUUGGCAACAGCUCGACCUUUGGACUUUCUUCUCUUCCCCUUAGACUGACUUUGCUGACGACCUCUUGUUACCAAUGCUUCCACUGCUGCUUCACCUGAACCUUUCAACUUAUCCUUUCGGCGUAGUUCAUAGCUAUACAAUGCAGCAGUUACUUCAUUGAAAGUUACUUCCGAUUUUCCAUGAAGUAGAGUAGUUUCAAGGUACUCAAACUCCUCAGGAAGCGAUCCCAACAACAUUAACGCCAAGUCUUCGUCUUCAAAAGUCACAUCCAAAUUCAACAAAUCAGCCACCAGCUGAUUAAAAUUGGUAAUGUGCUCGUUCAUCGUGGUACCAGGAACAUAAUUGAAACGAAACAGUCUUUUCUUCAUAUGCAACUUAUUUUGACUGUUCUUCUUCAAGAAUUUCUCCUCCAAUGCUUUCCACAAUUUACUUGCAGAAGUCUCUUUACUGAAUGUAUACUUCUGCUCUCUGGAAAGACAUGAUCGAAUUGUACCACAUGCCAAUCGGUUGAUGGUCUUCCAUUCUUUAUCAUCAACCCCUUCUGGUUUUUCUUCCUCAAUAGCAAUAUCUAGACCCUGUUGAAAGAGGGCAUCUAGAAGCUCACUUUGCCACAUGCCGAAAUGACCUGUUCCAUCAAAAAUUUCCACUACAAAUCUCGUAUUUGCAGUUCCAAUCCUUGGCAAAAUGUACGAAGUGGAAGUUGUUGAUAUGGAAGGUUUUUCUUCUGUCAUUUUUGCCAUAGCUUCUACUUAAUAGCCACCAAAUGCAGAAUACCCACAAGCUUUAGGAAAUGUUUCUGAUGUGUAAGAUCAGACUAAGCUGCAAACACAGAGCAUACUACAAAACCUUGGCUCUGAUACCAAUUGUUGCGGAAGCGACGAUAAUAUUAAUAACAAUAUUAUCAGAAAUAUUUAGAUAAUUAUUAUGCCAACAAUUAUACUAAGAAAAUUCCCAGUUAAAUUGGAGGGGUCACAAAUGGUCCCGCUUAAAACCCAACAACUAGACAGAACUCACUUAGAUAUUUAUAGCAAUAAUAACUAAAUAUUUCUGAUAAUAUUGUUAUUAAUAUUAUCGUCGCUUCCGCAACAAGAUCAGCAUUCACUAAAUCCUAGAAUUAUAUCAUCCAUGGGCUCUGAAGCAGAAUCUCAAAGCACUAAGGCGAAGACACUAACCUGCAAAACCAAAGGGAUCGGCUCCUUGUUACAUUAUUUCGGGAAUCAUGAUUGAAGAUGGCAUUUGAAACUCCAUGACAGCAAAGUUACAGUGUCCAACUCCAAACCACCAGAACCAACUACAGAAGCCAUUUUUGAUACCAUGCCACAAUGUCCUACUUCUGCAUCAAAUUACAACCUCAAAUACUUCUCACAACCUUAGUCCAUUAUUCUGCCACAGUGUUUAAAAAGUGCAUCUUUCCUAAAGGUUACUGAGUUAUUAAACAAACUGAAACUAAUCGGUAGAUCACAAAUGGUUUCUUAUCCGGCUAACCAUGACCCAUCAGGUCAUCUCAAUAAGCAUAAUCAUUUCACACUGUCCUCAGUGCUCCACAGCUCAUCUUUAUGUUAUUUUGACUCUUCAUUUUUCUUUAAAUACCAUGUGUAUAAGGAUAUGAUCCUCCAAGCACCCUCUAGCUACAUGGAGAAACUUACAUACCCAUGUUGGAUGUGUACUUGUGUCAGACAUUGACACGAGUCUGAGUUAGCAUAGAUUCAUCCUUCUAAAGAUCGAACUCCUCAUAUAAGCAAACUACUGAAUCCUGAUAACUUCAAGUUAUUAAGAAAAAACAUACAAAGACAUUCUAAAAGCUUUCCUGUAGUUUAAUUAGAUUAAAAUAUUAUCCCAAUUGUUAGAAACAACUAACAUGAUUGUUUAUAUACCAUUUAUCCACUUAUAAAAUGUAAGAUACCAAAGCAAUUUUGAAGCACCACACCUCCUUUAGUUUAAAAGAACAUUUUGGUGGCUGGUCCUUUCUUUCAGAUUUCCAUGAAUUGAAUGAACACUUCAUUAGAAGCAAGGGGUCAUCUAGCAUCUAAUGGGACAUGAACUUACCUUUGACAAUCUAUGAUGACAUGAAGUUUUUAGUUUUUACAAUAGGGACAGCCUGAAAACCACCAAAGGGGGUUUUAUUGCAGUUUAUACUCUUAUGAUUUAUGAAGAACGGAUUUUCCUAAAUGUUCUUUUUUACACAGAAGAGUUGACCAUUCUAAAGCAAAGCAUAAUUUGAAUGCUUUCUUGUCUAAGAUGGAAAAAGCACAGCCAUGAAUGGGUCCAUUGCUUCAAUUCACUUCCGUUACUGCAGGAUUAACAAAACAAAGUAGCAAAGCCUGGACCCAAGUUAUAAUUGAAUGCGUAAAAUACUCAAGGAAAGUUUCCACCGAUAGCCAAAUAAGCUUUUAUAUGGAUUCAGAAUUGCCUCCACAAAAAUAGAAAGCAUGUUUUGGUAUCACGUUAACAUGAAAAGUAGGAGAUGCAAUGCAAGAUUAAUUGUGAAGUUGUAUCCCUGGUUCCCCUACUUCACUAAAAUGUGCUAAAAACAGCCUAAAUUGUAUCAUUUAUGGAAUAAGUUACCAAACUUGCAUAAGCACAACAUCAAAGAAGCUUUCAAUUCUCCAGAUAUGAUAAAAAGAGCACACAUAAACUGAAAAGAAGAAUAAAAUUAUCCCAUACCCGAUGAGUUCCUAAUAAUCAACUGUUCUUUGAAGCCAUGACUUUUCUGGCAGCCAUACCCUUCCUAGCAGCCCUGGCAUUAUCAUAUUCAAACUUCAACACAUCUGAUAUAUGAGAAGUAUCCUUGACAUAAAAAAAACCUCCCAAGGGCACUCUCUUCAAUCAAAGGAAAAUAACAGAAAAGCUUAGAGUCACCAGCCAAAACGAAACCCCACCAAGAAAAGUCCCCAAAGCAGCUCCAGCGAAAAACAGGGCCACAGUAUGGUAACCGAAAUAAACCCUGGAAUACAUAGUCAAAACAGCCGAAGACCAAGGCAAAAACAAAGCAGCCCACUUGGUUGUGACUUUCCAAAUCCCACCAAUCCCCUUACAAGUCAAAAGGGUAAAAUAAACCGUACAAAAGAACAUGUAUUGACAGUGACUUGAAGGCCAACCAUGAGAAUCACACAUUUCUAAUAGCGCACAGGUUUCAGGCCUGGCUUGUUGAACGGAUUUCUUGAUCAGUUCAUUAAUGAAGUGAGAUAUUAAAAGCCCUAAUCCAAAGAACAUUCCUUGAAGCUCUCUACGGAAGUAGAAAUGAGAAACAAAGCCACCAAGGGAAAUGAAAACAGGGACUAACGAAACCCAGGCUAAGAAAUGGCCGAGUUGAUCACGUCUUUGAUACCUGACAUGGGUUAAAGUCACGGCUUUUAAUGGAUGAUCAGCUCUCAUGGUGAAAAUUCAAGUCAAUCGGAGAAACUAAAAAUAAGGUCAGUUUCAGGUGGGAUGUAGUUUGGGAGGAUUGGGUUUUAACUGUUGUUUCAGUUCAGUGUUUGUUCCUCGAGAAACUGCCGGUAAUGAAAAAGGUGUGAGUGAGCCGUUGAUAGACGCAUACACCGACGAAGAAACAAUACACGCGGGAAUAAAGGAACACACACGUUGAAAGAUCCCAUCUUGUUUUUUUCUCAAAAGGUUAGGGGUAUUAUUGGUUUUCCAACAUGAAGAGAACGUCAAAUUAACGUCUAGUCUGAGAUGUCUGUCGUGAGCCGUUGGAUUAACUGCAAUCCGACGGAUGAGAAAGAAACCCUAGUUGAGCCAAAGCUGAGACUGUCGCUGGCUACUUAAGUUAAAGCAGCCUGUUGCUCUCGCCUUCUCUUGCUCUCACUCAACGCUCUCUCAUCCUGCUUCUGGUCAAGCCAAUCUCAAAAGACUCCCCUUUUAGCUCACAGGUAGUAACCCAUUUACAACUUAUAAUUAUCUCUCAAAUGUUAUUGCUUUGAUUCGAAGAAAAACGUGGUCUGAUUUGUUGGUAGCUGAAAUAUUAUAUCUGAUUUGCUGAAAUAGUUCUCAUACGAUUAAUUUUUUUGCGUGUAGUUUCGGAUCUGAUUCUUUGUUUUUUUGGUUGUGUUUUUAGAUUUCAUUCAUGCAUGUACGUUUUGAACUCUGAAAUUUAUUUUUCUGAGCAAAUAAUUCCUGUGAUAACUGGUUUAUUGAAGCAAAUGCUGCCUAAGGGAAAUUUUUUAACGAAAAUAUUUAAAAUUGUCGGGGAUUAUUUUCUUAGGCUCGUUUGUCUUCGAUGGCCAUGUUUGACUGGCUUCAUGGGAACUUCAUGGGAAAGGAUAAGUUAAGAUCUAGUGGCUGUAGUUCAUUGGAAUGAACUCCAUAUCUAUGGAGGAACUGGGCUCGAAUCCCAGCGGCCACGUUUUGUCAAUGUUGGAUCUGUUGAAUUUAAAUGUGGCUUGAUUUUCUUUUUCGAAAUUGACUUGAACUAUUCUUCAUAAACAAUAAAAGUGGGUCUCGGAUUCAUUGUUUAUUGUUCACAAGAUGUUGGUCUUCUUGUGUGAUUUUGACUUGGAAUUAUGUAUUGAGCUUAUUUUAUGAAUAUGUUUCUUCUUGAUUUUUAGCUCUCUCGAGUUCUGUAAUGGGUAAGGAGAAGGUUCACAUCAACAUUGUGGUCAUCGGCCAUGUCGACUCUGGGAAGUCUACAACCACUGGUCAUUUGAUCUACAAGCUUGGUGGUAUUGACAAGCGUGUGAUUGAGAGGUUUGAGAAGGAGGCUGCUGAGAUGAACAAAAGGUCAUUUAAGUAUGCAUGGGUGCUUGACAAGCUUAAGGCCGAACGUGAACGUGGUAUUACCAUCGAUAUUGCCCUCUGGAAGUUUGAAACUAC